UGAGGAUGCUGCCAGUGCUCUCAGACACACUGUCCAUGCCACCCUCUCCAGUAGGGGACGCUGGCUCUUCUUCCGUUGGUGACAAGUCCUAGCAAAUUGAGAAAGAUACCCCUCACCAAGAUGACCUAAGGAACACCCAUGACGUGGGACCUGUUUACUUCCCAUCAUACGUGACUUCCCAAAGAGGAGAAGAAGAGGUAACAGAGUGAAGUUUGGCCUUUUACAGCUUUACCAACCGCAUACACUUAAAGAGCACAGCUAACUUGAGCAAGUAUCCAAAGAUGGAGCAGAAUCAGGCCUGCGUUCCAUGACUGUGUGACCCUAGCACCUUGCUGAGCACUGUGGUCAUUAACUUAGGAAGAAUUAUGUAACAGUAUCUACAAGUGAAUCAGCAACCCCGGGACAGGCAGGAGGAGGAGGCAGAGGGAGGAGUGGCAAGCCGGUGGAACCGUUUCUGCAAGAGUGGAGCCUAGUGGAGAGCAAACAGGACGCAAGUUACAGGAGGAAAUAUUAACAAAAACGACAGGGAAGAAGAAGGGAUUGAAUGGACAUCAAAACUGCAUUAGGGGAGAGCGCGAACGCAGUCCCCCACUGCCACAGAUUAUGCAGUCGGGUGUCCGACAUUUGGGGAAAUCACAGGGGUCAGCACAUCCGGAGGGCAACGGACAAGCCUCACCCCGGGAAAACCACCUUCGUGAUCAUGGUCUCUCCCGCCCAGGUCAGUAUCCACAGGCGUUUUCUAUGCCUCAGGUGAGCAAGCCAGAGAGGGGACUACCACUCACCUGUCCUUUUCAUGCUUCAUCUUUUGACUCAGCCUGAUUUCCCUUGAAGUCAUGUAAAACUGUGUAAGAAAUAAUCCAGUUAGCUCAUUAUUGCACAGUACAAACAAUUAAACCAUUAUGAUUCAUGGAAAACAUGAAAAUUCCACUAACCAAUGUUGACAGGAGGUUAAAACAUAAUUUUAUCAUUUAGGAAAUAGUGCAAAAUACUGUCAAAUUUCAUGAAGGUUCUGACCCCAGCACAAAACAUGAAAAUGUUAAAGCAUCAUGUAAUUAAAUAAAAUCCAAUUUAGUGAGUGGAAUGCAAAAUCUACUUUAGUAGCUAAAUUAGUAUGUUUUCUGGAAUAGAGAUCCUUAUCGGCUGCAUUUAAAAGGGAAAAUAAGAACCUAUUAAGGAUGGAGACACCUCUACUUCGUACUCAAUCUGGUGAUUAAUCUCACCACCAGCUUGGUUGAUAAAGCAGAAAUGAACCAAACUUCUGAAACCAUCAUUUUGAUGUUUCAAAAUGGUCACCAGAAACUUACUGCAGUGAAUUCAUUGUGACUGUACUCUUCAAAACUUAGGCACCAAGAGGCAAACUAGCAAACGUUGCUAUAUACAUCUUAAUGUUCGGUAGUAAGACUUAUGUUGAGUUGCUGAUGAGGUUAAGUCUUCUCAUACAAAUUUUAUGUAUAAAAAGGUGCGCACAGAAGUGAAUUCACUUUCUCGAGAUCCUAUAUAAUAGUCAGUAACAAAUUAUGAUGUUUUUAAUUACAUUAACCCCUCACUAUUCCCAUACCUUUACCCAAAUAGAAGCUACGAAUAAAUGAGGUACGGGAUCUUGAAGGAUACAUCACAAAGUUUAUAAACCAGAGUCUAUUUAUUCUUAAUUUGGACACAACUCUGACCCUCUUGGGUAUUUGUUUGGCUGGCAGGGAGGGUGAUAUCAGACCUCCCGACCCCUGACCCAUGGGCUGGAGAAAACACACACAUAUCCACAUGCACUUUAAGAUUCUGGUUAUGUACCUCAGCAGCCCUGAAGGUCAUCCCCAUGUUCUCAGAGCUACUAACAAAAUGUUACAUCGGCAUCAGCAUGCUCUCUGCAGACACAGCCAGAAAAAACCACAGGCAUCCUGUGAUGUCCCCUUGUCCCUGACCCUGCAGACUCACCGCGUUGCUCCUGGGGCAGAAGGGGUCGUGCUCCUG